AAUCAACGCUGGCGGCGUGCCUAACACAUGCAAGUCGAACGAGAAAGGGUAGCAAUACCUGAGUAAAGUGGCGCACGGGUGAGUAACACGUGACUAACCUACCCUGGAGUGGGGGAUAACUGAGGGAAACCUUAGCUAAUACCGCAUAACACCUACGGGUCAAAGGAGCAAUUCGCUUUGGGAGGGGGUCGCGGCCGAUUAGUUAGUUGGCGGGGUAAUGGCCCACCAAGACGAUGAUCGGUAUCCGGCCUGAGAGGGCGCACGGACACACUGGAACUGAAACACGGUCCAGACUCCUACGGGAGGCAGCAGUGGGGAAUUUUGCGCAAUGGGGGAAACCCUGACGCAGCAACGCCGCGUGGAGGAUGAAGUACUUCGGUACGUAAACUCCUUUCGAUCGGGACGAUUAUGACGGUACCGAGAGAAGAAGCCCUGGCUAACUUCGUGCCAGCAGCCGCGGUAAUACGAGGGGGGCGAGCGUUGUUCGGAAUUAUUGGGCGUAAAGGGUGCGUAGGCGGUUUGGUAAGUCUCGUGUGAAAUCUAUGGGCUCAACUCAUAGUCUGCACGAGAAACUGCCG
rnacentral:rRNA from 1 species